rnacentral:rRNA from 1 species
GAUGAACGCUGGCGGCGUGCCUAAUACAUGCCAGUCGAGCGAACGGACGAGAAGCUUGCUUCUCUGAUGUUAGCGGCGGACGGGUGAGUAACACGUGGAUAACCUACCUAUAAGACUGGGAUAACUUCGGGAAACCGUAGCCAAUACCGGAUAAUAUUUUGAACCGCAUGGUUCAAAAGUGAAAGACGGUCUUGCUGUCACUUAUAGAUGGAUCCGCGCUGCAUUAGCUAGUUGGUAAGGUAACGGCUUACCAAGGCAACGAUGCAUAGCCGACCUGAGAGGGUGAUCGGCCACACUGGAACUGAGACACGGUCCAGACUCCUACGGGAGGCAGCAGUAGGGAAUCUUCCGCAAUGGGCGAAAGCCUGACGGAGCAACGCCGCGUGAGUGAUGAAGGUCUUCGGAUCGUAAAACUCUGUUAUUAGGGAAGAACAUAUGUGUAAGUAACUGUGCACAUCUUGACGGUACCUAAUCAGAAAGCCACGGCUAACUAC